UACGAAGGGGGCUAGCGUUGCUCGGAAUCACUGGGCGUAAAGCGCACGUAGGCGGAUCGUUAAGUCAGGGGUGAAAUCCUGGAGCUCAACUCCAGAACUGCCUUUGAUACUGGCGACCUUGAGUUCGGGAGAGGUGAGUGGAACUGCGAGUGUAGAGGUGAAAUUCGUAGAUAUUCGCAAGAACACCAGUGGCGAAGGCGGCUCACUGGCCCGAGUACUGACGCUGAGGCGCGAAAGCU
rnacentral:rRNA from 1 species